rnacentral:rRNA from 1 species
GUGGGGAAUAUUGGACAAUGGGCGAAAGCCUGAUCCAGCCAUGCCGCGUGUGUGAAGAAGGUCUUCGGAUUGUAAAGCACUUUAAGUUGGGAGGAAGGGCAGUAAGUUAAUACCUUGCUGUUUUGACGUUACCGACAGAAUAAGCACCGGCUAACUUCGUGCCAGCAGCCGCGGUAAUACGAAGGGUGCAAGCGUUAAUCGGAAUUACUGGGCGUAAAGCGCGCGUAGGUGGUUUUGUAAGUUGGAGGUGAAAUCCCCAGGCUCAACCUGGGAACUGCCUCCAAAACUGCAUGACUAGAGUACGGUUGAGGGUAGUGGAAUUUCCUGUGUAGCGGUGAAAUGCGUAGAUAUAGGAAGGAACACCAGUGGCGAAGGCGACUACCUGGACUGAUACUGACACUGAGGUGCGAAAGCGUGGGGAGCAAACAGGAUUAGAUACCCGGGUAGUCC